rnacentral:rRNA from 1 species
GGGGGAAUUUUGGACAAUGGGGGCAACCCUGAUCCAGCAACGCCGCGUGAGCGAUGACGCUGCUCUGCAGUGUAAAGCUCUGUUGAGAGGGAAGAACCAGCGGGUAUGGCCCGCUCUGACGGUACCUCUUGAGGAAGCACCGGCUAACUCCGUGCCAGCAGCCGCGGUAAUACGGGGGGUGCAAGCGUUGUCCGGAUUUAUUGGGCGUAAAGGGCUCGUAGGCGGGACGGCAAGUCAGGCGUGAAAUCUUCCGGCUUAACCGGAAGCGUGCGCUUGAAACUGCGGUUCUUGAGUCACAGAGAGGAAGAUGGAAUUCCUGGUGUAGCGGUGGAAUGCGUAGAUAUCAGGAAGAACACCCAUAGCGAAGGCAAUCUUCUGGCUGUGUACUGACGCUGAGGAGCGAAAGCGUGGGGAGCGAACAGGAUUAGAUACCCUGGUAGUCCACGCUGUAAACGAUGGAUACUAGAUGCUGGGUCUGCUUUGGUCGGCUCGGUGUCGUAGCUAACGUGUUAAGUAUCCCGCCUGGGGAGUACGGUCGCAAGGCUG